GGAUUGGUCAAUUAAAAGGUCCUAUAGUUUAAAAACCUGUAAUACUGAGUUAACAUACAUUAAAGACACAAACACAUCAGUGAAAGAUUAUCCAAUUUCUUCAGGAAUUUAACAUUUCAGCAGUUUUUACAACCAGAGGCUGUGCAAUGUUGUGCAAUCUUGAUUUGUAUUGUGAGUGACGACACAUCGACUUUUCCAAGUGUCUGGAGAGGUCGAAUGUGACAUUAACCCAUACAUAUCAAUGAUUUUACUUAUGGACCACCACAGAAGCUGCACCAAAGUGGAAUUAACUUUAGCAAAAUGCAUGAAGAUGUGACCUCUCUGCUGCUUCCUGUUUCUCCUGGUCCAGCUCCUGGAUCAUCUCUCUCAUCUUGGUGCAGAGCUCAGAGUUGGCAGCCUUCACCUUCUCUUCACUCUGCUUCAGCUCCUGAUUCCUCUUCUCCAGAGCCUGCCGUUCACAUUAGGGAUGCUCAACUAGUAUCCAACAACUAGCUAACUCAAUAGUAACUUCUUACUAGCAAUUAGAUCCAAGCCAGUGUUAUUUUAGUAUUAUAUACUAUUAUAGAAUUAGCUUUUGUUUUUCAUUUUAUUAUGUGCUUAUGUCAUUUUUAUUAGUUGCUUAUUUAUAGUUUAUUUGUAACUUUUUAAACUUCAGGUUUAGUUUUAAUAUUACUUCAACUUAAAAAUGCUGUUUUGAAAACUAACUGAAAUCAAACAAGUUUGUCUCCUAAUAUUUUUGUUUUGUUUUAUUUAAGCUUGAAAACUAACUGAAAUCAAACAAUUUGUCAUCUAAUAUUUUUGUUUUGUUUUAUUUAAGCUUUAUUUCAAUUAACAUGACACUGGUCUUUUACAUUUAGAGAUUUUUUAUUAUUAUCUUUUUUUAUCUAUCUAUUAUUUCAGCUUUAUUCCAUUUAAUGAAAAUGAUUUUGAAUAGUUAAAUUUUUAGUUAACAAAACCAGCACUAAUCCAGACACGACAGUCGUCUGACUCUGUGAUUGUGCAGUCACACUGACCUCCACUCUCUCCUGCAGCACCUGCCGCUCCUCCUGUAGUCUGACGAGGUCUUUGUGAGGGGCGGCAGUCAUGGGGGAUGUUUCCAGGUGUUUCUCCAAGCUGCUCUCCCUCACCUGUAGUAAACGCACAAGGUGUAAGUCUAACAUCUACUACAGCAGAGAGCACUGAUUUGCUGUAGGUCAGACCUUCGAGUCCUGUAUGGUUCGCUCAGCCUGCUCUAUCUGCGUCUGCAGCUGCUCUGUUCUGCUCUGAGAGCGUCGCAGCUCCUCCUGCAGCUCAGAGAUCUUCAGACGCUUGGUCUUCAGGUGACUCAGGCAGCGCUGCAACUCGCUCUUCAGCUCUCGCACCACGUCCUCCUUCAGCAGGGUCGAGUCUCCUGCUUCUGCAAUAUGAGGUGUGCUGGAAAACAAAGUAAUUAUGACAUUAUGAGAAGCUUGACAUUAUAGCAAUGCAGUUUGGACUGUUACUGUACAAUAGAACAUUACCUGUGGAUUCGUCCAUUUCUCCACUUGGACUUCUUGAUGCCCAGAUCCACGCAGGACUCAGACAGCUGGUUCUCCCAGUCUCCGUUGGAUUGCAGGGCUCCAUGUUUAAUAGCAGACUCAUACAGAUUUAUCUGCUCCUUCAGUUCAGUCAUCUCUUCCUGUUGAGACACGAAACAUGUAUGCUCUGUUUGUAGCCUGAUUAUGGACAGCUUUAAUAAGAUUAUAUAAUUUUUUUUAAUAUAAUGUUUUUGUAUAUUUUGUUGAAGUUAUAUAUAUGAAUUUCUUUUGAUGAUAUUCAAAUGUUUUUGCUAUAUGUUUUGAGAUGUUGUUCUGUAUCUUCGUGACAUUAGAUAUAUUAAGGUAAUACAUGACAUGUUUUAAUAAGCGCAGAUGUUGCUCGGUAACACAUGGCACUGAGGAAGGGUUAAACAUUAGUGGACUGACUGACCUGCAGGGCUUUGUUGAUGUCUUCACUGAUAACGCGGGCAGACUGAGCCUGCUGGAGCUUCAUCUGUAACUGACUCAUCUCUUGAACAGAGCCUGCAGAGAAUAAAAGAAGCUUUGAUAAAGAUGAUACAGGCAUGAGGGAGACAAAUCUUCAAUUCAUGUAUUAAAGGGGACAUUGAAAACAUUAAA